CCCCUCCCCCCUUAAUGUCUCUGCAUCAACCCCCCCUCCCCCCCUAGUAUUUCGAGGUCCGUUACGGCCCUGCUUUUAUUCCUAAACUUGGUCUUUAAAUCUCUACAUAAAUAAAUGUUUCUCAAAAUUACGCUAUGACUUCCAACUGCAUUGUGGUUUCCAUCCGAAAAUCUUUGCGUUUUAUCAUUGGAAGCCAAAACAAAAAGCUGACCGAUCAAAAGCAGAUAUGUUAAAGUUUAACAAUUGAAUGACGGAAGCGAGAAACGUUUUAUACAGUUGGAAAUCAUUGGCGACAGUUCGCUCAAUAUUGAAAAAAGUAAAUUAUUACGCUAUUCAAAACAGCUCCAUUAUUCACGGAAAUCUAGGUAUUUUUUUCUCUUUUUCACUAACAAACAAAGUAUUUAUAGUUAAACUACUGUGCUUCCGAUGACGCUUAUUACGAGUGUGAAGCAACUUAAAGUGCAUCUCCAGGGAAAGGGAAGACCGUUUUGCGCAAAAUGUACAUUAUCUGAGGCUUAACUUUCCCGAAAAAAAAAAUCGAAUUCCUCCAAUCCUGAAUAUUUGGCAUCUUUUCAAACGCACGCGAUUUGGCUUGGUUUGGCCGCCAUCUUGAAACACCAACCAACUCAGUCCCCUCUCGGUCAGAGCUCGAGAAGGCGCGAAAGGAUUGCCAUACAGUCGUUUGACAAAAGGUUGUCAUCAACGGGCUUUGCGACUACGCGACAAGCCCGCAUGUAAGCAUGGGUAAGUCAAUAUUCAAGUUUUUUUUCCGCUCUCUCUUUCCCAUAGUGAAAUUGGAUAAAAACGCAUGUGGAAUUAAAGUAGAAUAAAUAGAAUAAAGAAAAUGUAAUUUUCUGCAACCCAAUUGCCCCCUUAAGAAAGCUGGUCGGCUAGAUCCAGCCAAGAAUAGAGUAGAGGGCAUCUGAACGAUAUCAUCUGUUGAACUGAAUAACAUCAUCUAUCUAUCCUACUGGUAAUACGACUGAUGUUGUUUUUAAUUGCGUUUUCUGUAGAAAAUAUUACCAGCCUCCUAAAGCGAUGUUCAAAUCCAGCAGAGCAAUCAAUUUAAAAAUGUAUUGUAUCCCAUUCCCAGAUGGUGCCAAUCACGUCACGAUAUGAGCAACUCAUUUUAUGCCAUAUUGGUCGAAAUAAGGGAUGUUGAAAAACUUAUACACAUAUUGGAAUCAUUGCUUAGUUUGAAAUAUAAAGUACAAUUGUCUGCAAGAAACAAUUUCAAGUAUCGAGAAAUAAAAAAUUGUAUGUAGGAGUAGCAGUCGAAAUCGUGUUUGCUUUAACUCGUCAGGGUGAUAUUAAUUGCCUCUAUUAGAAAAGAAAACAUUCUUAAUAAAAAAAUGUAAUUUUCGGCAACUGAAUCAGCUAGAUCUAGCCAAGGUAGAGUAGAGGGUAGCUAAACGAUUUCAUCUAUGGAGGUCUAUGGGGUAGCUAAACGAUUUCAUCUAUGGAGGUCUGUACUUAAAUAACACCAUCUAUCCGAAUUGUAAUACGACUGAUGUUGUUUUUAAUUGCGUUUUCUGUAGAAAAUAUUACCAGCCUCCUAAGGCGAUGUUCAAAUCCAGCUGAGCAAUAAAUUUAAAAAUGUAUUGUAUCCCAUUCCCAGAUUGUGCCAAUCACGUUUCCUCGCAAUAUGAGCAACUCAUUUUAUGCCAUAUUGGUCAAAAUAAGUAUGGUAAGAAGGUGGUAUUAAUUGCCUCUAUUAGAAAACAUCCUUGCUCUAACUAUUGAAAUGAAAUCUCUAUUUGCACAUUCGCACUGAACUGUCUUGAAUCCACAUUUUGAGGUGACAGGAGCAGUACAGAUCAUUGAAAUAUUGGAUUCUAUUGGUUUUCAAGUUAAUCUCUUCUCGAAGUUCUUUUCUGAUUCUAUUGGUUUUCAAGUUAAUCUCUUCUCGAAGUUCUUUUCUGGUAAGUACACAAUUAGCGUGAAUUUUCAAAAAAAAAAUUAUGAACAACCGUCUUGCACGCAUGAACAAAUCGACACAAACCUUGAAGUUUGUGAACUUUCUACAUAAUUUGAUGCAUUUCCAAUAGAAUGAGAGUGAUAGUAACUUUUUUGAAUUGCAGUUAAACCUUUGUAAAAUGUUAUCACAACAUGUUACAUAAAACAAAUAUUGUCAUGCAGAGUCGAUAGCACACAAACCAAAUUUGCCGAACCAUUUUUUUACUGCAAAAUGACUUGGCCUUUUGUUGUUUACCUAAUCUUUUUUCCCUAUUUUUCAAUAAAACAGCUCAUUUUCGUUUUCUUAUAUCUGUUUUUUUUUUCACUCACAUUAGAACAACAUAUAAGAAGUAGAGUUCAAUAAUUUCUUUUAAGUUCUCGAUUAAUAUGAUACUAUAUUAUACAGACGCCACUUCAGGCGUCGAAGAUAAUCUCACACGCUUUACGUUUUUGUUAAUGUUACCGUAGGCUCAAGUAUAGUUGGCUUUUGCUUUGGUCUUCUUCGAUUUUUUUCAGGUCGAAUUCAUAGGCGUGAAUUCACUAAGAAAUAUCGUCAUGCUAUGCAUACACAAGCUUUAAGUACAAAUCUUUCAGUGAACUUUCUACAUAAUUCGAUGCAUUAUCUUUAAAAUACUUUUGAAAGUUCGUAGACACGAACGUGUAAGUGUGUCCUUAAAAUCAAAUCAAAGAUGAGUGGAAUUACAUUGGUUGUAGCUUUUUGCAGUAAAACCUCUGAAUGUAUUCUCACAACGUUUGCCGUUCUUUCGGCAAACAAAUUUGUCGAACUUUUUUAACUGCAAAAUAAGUUGGCAAACAUUAAUAGAUUAAGCAAGGCCUUUUGUUGAUAACCUGAUCUUUUAUUCUAUAAAGCAGCUUAUUUUCCGUUUUUUUUUUCGUUUUCUUUAUUUUUUUUUCCGCUCAGAUAAGAACACCAUAUAAGAUGUAAUGUGUAGUUCCAGAUAAUAUCCAUAUGAAAAAAAAAUAAAUACAGAAACUGUUAAGGAAAAAGGGCAUUUUCCCCCUCCCCUCUGGAAAUU